rnacentral:rRNA from 1 species
GAUGAACGCUGGCGGCGUGCCUAAUACAUGCAAGUCGAGCGAACGGACGAGAAGCUUGCUUCUCUGAUGUUAGCGGCGGACGGGUGAGUAACACGUGGAUAACCUACCUAUAAGACUGGGAUAACUUCGGGAAACCGGAGCUAAUACCGGAUAAUAUUUUGAACCGCAUGGUUCAAAAGUGAAAGACGGUCUUGCUGUCACUUAUAGAUGGAUCCGCGCUGCAUUAGCUAGUUGGUAAGGUAACGGCUUACCAAGGCAACGAUGCAUAGCCGACCUGAGAGGGUGAUCGCCCACAUGGGAACUGAGCCGCGCCCCAGCCUCCGAGGGGGGGCACAAGAGGGGAAUUUUCGGCAAUGGGCGAAGGCCUGACGGAGCAACGCGGGGUGAGUGAGAAGGGUCUUGGAAUCGUAAAACUGUUUUAUUGGGGAAAAACAUAUGUGAAAGAAUGUGUGCACUUCUGGACGGUACUUAAACAAAAAGCCACGGCUAACUACGUG